GACAGAGGGUGCGAGCGUUGUUCGGAAUUACUGGGCGUAAAGCGUGCGUAGGUGGUGAGUUAAGUCUGUCGUGAAAGCCCCGGGCUCAACCUGGGAAUGGCGAUGGAUACUGGCUCGCUAGAGUGCGGUAGAGGAGAGUGGAAUUCCCGGUGUAGCAGUGAAAUGCGUAGAGAUCGGGAGGAACAUCAGUUGCGAAGGCGGCUCUCUGGACCAGCACUGACACUGAGGCACGAAAGCGUGGGGAGCAAACAGG
rnacentral:rRNA from 1 species